UACAGAGGUCUCAAGCGUUGUUCGGAUUCAUUGGGCGUAAAGGGUGCGUAGGCGGCGCGGUAAGUCGGGUGUUAAAUCUCGGAGCUUAACUCCGAAACUGCAUUCGAUACUGCCGUGCUUGAGGACUGGAGAGGAGACUGGAAUUUACGGUGUAGCGGUGAAAUGCGUAGAUAUCGUAAGGAAGACCAGUGGCGAAGGCGGGUCUCUGGACAGUUCCUGACGCUGAGGCACGAAGGUCAGGGGAGCAAACGGG
rnacentral:rRNA from 1 species